rnacentral:rRNA from 1 species
GAUGAACGCUGGCGGCGUGCCUAAUACAUGCAAGUCCAGCGAACAGACGAGGAGCUUGCUCCUUUGACGUUAGCGGCGGACGGGUGAGUAACACGUAGGUAACCUACCUAUAAGACUGGGAUAACUUCGGGAAACCGGAGCUAAUACCGGAUAAUAUUUCGAACCGCAUGGUUCGAUAGUGAAAGAUGGCUUUGCUAUCACUUAUAGAUGGACCUGCGCCGUAUUAGCUAGUUGGUAAGGUAACGGCUUACCAAGGCAACGAUACGUAGCCGACCUGAGAGGGUGAUCGGCCACACUGGAACUGAGACACGGUCCAGACUCCUACGGGAGGCAGCAGUAGGGAAUCUUCCGCAAUGGGCGAAAGCCUGACGGAGCAACGCCGCGUGAGUGAUGAAGGUCUUCGGAUCGUAAAACUCUGUUAUUAGGGAAGAACAAACGUGUAAGUAACUGUGCACGUCUUGACGGUACCUAAUCAGAAAGCCACGGCUAACUACGUG